GCUAAGUCACUUUGCACAUGAAUUCUUUGAAGGGCUUACAUAUAUAGAAUUUUGAUAAUUUGAUCAUCAAAUUCUAUUUUCCAUUAUUAAUAAAGACAGACAUGAGUAGUUGCCUUAUGUGAUUUC